UAGUACGGCGAGCGAGCGGGAAGAGCUCAAAUUUGAAAUCUGGUGGCCUCAGGUCAUCCGAGUUGUAAUCUAUAGAAGUGUUUUCCGUGCUGGCCCAUGUACAAGUCCCUUGGAACAGGGCGUCAUAGAGGGUGAGAAUCCCGUCCUUGACAUGGACUACCAGUGCUCUGUGAUACACUUUCAACGAGUCGAGUUGUUUGGGAAUGCAGCUCAAAAUGGGUGGUAAAUUCCAUCUAAAGCUAAAUAUUGGCGAGAGACCGAUAGCGAACAAGUACCGUGAGGGAAAGAUGAAAAGCACUUUGGAAAGAGAGUUAAACAGUAUGUGAAAUUGUUGAAAGGGAAACGAUUGAAGUCAGUCGUGCUCAAUGGACUCAGCCGUUCUGCGGUGUAUUUCCAUUGGGUGGGGUCAACAUCAGUUUUGAUCGCUGGAUAAAGGCAGGAGGAAUGUAGCACCCCCGGGUGAACUUAUAGCCUCUUGUCACAUACAGUGGUUGGGACUGAGGAACGCAGCAUGCCUUUAUGGCCGGGAUUCGUCCACGUACAUGCUUAGGAUGUUGACAUAAUGGCUUUAAACGACCCGUCUU
rnacentral:rRNA from 1 species